GUCCUCAACUGACGCUAAUGCUCGAAAGUGCGGGUAUCGAACAGGAUUAGAUACCCUGGUAGUCCGCACGGUAAACGAUGGAUGCCCGCUGUUGGCGAUAUAUUGUCAGCAGCCAAGCGAAAGCGUUAAGCAUCCCACCUGGGGAGUACGCCGGCAACGGUGAAACUCAAAGGAAUUGACGGGGGCCCGCACAAGCGGAGGAACAUGUGGUUUAAUUCGAUGAUACGCGAGGAACCUUACCCGGGCUUGAACUGCAGCAGAACGAUAGAGAGAUCUUGAGGCCCUUCGGGGCUGCUGUGGAGGUGCUGCAUGGUUGUCGUCAGCUCGUGCCGUGAGGUGUCGGCUUAAGUGCCAUAACGAGCGCAACCCCUUCCGUCAGUUGCCAUCACUUUGGGUGGGCACUCUGGCGGUACUGCCACCGUAAGGUGUGAGGAAGGUGGGGAUGACGUCAAAUCAGCACGGCCCUUACGUCCGGGGCUACACACGUGUUACAAUGGGUGGUACAGAGAGUCGGUCGUAUGCAAAUGCGAUCUAAUCAAUAAAGCCAUCCUCAGUUCGGAUUGGGGUCUGCAACCCGACCCCAUGAAGCUGGAUUCGCUAG
rnacentral:rRNA from 1 species